rnacentral:rRNA from 1 species
CAAUAAGCGGAGGAAAAGAAACCAACAGGGAUUGCCCCAGUAACGGCGAGUGAAGCGGCAACAGCUCAAAUUUGAAAUCUGGCCCCCCCCGCGGGGGCCCGAGUUGUACUUUGGAGAGGAUGCUUUGGGCGCGGCGCCGGCCGAGUUCCCUGGAACGGGACGCCAGAGAGGGUGAGAGCCCCGUACGGCCGGACGCCCAGCCCGUGCAAAGCUCCUUCGACCGAGUCGAGUAGUUUGGGAAUGCUGCUCAAAACGGGAGGUAAAUUUCUUCUAAAGCUAAAUACCGGCCAGAGACCGAUAGCGCACAAGUAGAGUGAUCGAAAGAUGAAAAGCACUUUGAAAAGAGGGUUAAACAGCACGUGAAAUUGUUGAAAGGGAAGCGCCUGGGGCCAGACGUGCGCCCCGCGGACCACCCGGCGCCCCGCGCGCCGGGGCACGCCGCGGGCGCGCAGGCCAGCAUCGGCUCCCCGCCAGGGGGACAAGGGCCGCGGGAACGUAGCUCCUCCGGGAGCGUUAUAGCCCGCGGCGCCNUGCCCCUGGGGGGGCCGAGG